rnacentral:rRNA from 1 species
GACGACCGCUGGCGGCGUGCUUAACACAUGCAAGUCGAACGAAGUGGCGAACGGGUGAGUAACGCGUAAUCAACCUGCCCUUCAGAUGGGGACAACAAUUGGAAACGACUGCUAAUACCGCAUACGGAAGGAGGGGAUUGCGUUUGAUUAGCUAGUUGGAGGGGUAGCGGCCCCACAAGGCGAUGAUCAGUAGCCGGUCUGCGAGGAUGAACGGCCACAUUGGGACUGAGACACGGCCCAGACUCCUACGGGAGGCAGCAGUGGGGAAUCUGCCGCAAUGGACGAAAGUCUGACGGAGCAACGCCGCGGGAGUGAUGACGGCCUUCGGGUUGUAAAGCUCUGUUAAUCGGGACGCGGUACCGGAAUAGAAAGCCACGGCUAACUACGUGCCAGCCGCCGCGGUAAUUC